AUGGCAGAAAAAGAUCCCGUGGAAAGUAACAAUGAUACAUUAAACGAAACUGCUAUAUUUGAAGCGCUAACGAAUGUAACUGAAGGUAAUGUAGAAAAUAUGGAUGAAAACGGGUCACCCUUUAGUAGUAUUUUGCAAAAUCGUAGAUUAAUGGGAUUAGAAGGCGCAGCAAGCUUAGCUGUAUUAUAUUUGGUAUUUAUUGUUUGGAUGAUUAUUUUGAUAUUUUUAUAUUUGCUUAUAAGUCGGAGGCUUUAUGGAAUGCAAAGAUCGAAUAAAAAAAAAGUUGAUCGUCGUAGAAAGAGAUAAAGUCAUCGAAACGAAACAUGCAAUAAACAGAGAUACAUUUAACA
rnacentral:lncRNA from 1 species